rnacentral:rRNA from 1 species
CGUGCAGGCGGUUCGUUAAGUCUAGGGUGAAAGCUCCCGGCUCAACUGGGAGAGGUCCUUGGAUACUGGCGGACUUGAGGGGGGUAGAGGAGAGUGGAAUUCUCGGUGUAGUGGUGAUAUGCGUAGAUAUCGAGAGGAACACCAGUGGCGAAGGCGGCUCUCUGGGCCCUACCUGACGCUGAGACGCGAAAGCGUGGGGAGCGAACCGGAUUAGAUACCCGGGUAGUCCACGCCGUAAACUAUGGACACUAGGUGUGGGGGGUAUCGACCCCUUCCGUGCCGAAGCUAACGCAAUAAGUGUCCCGCCUGGGGAGUACGGCCGCAAGGCUAAA